rnacentral:rRNA from 1 species
UACGGAGGGGGCGAGCGUUAUUCGGAAUUAUUGGGCGUAAAGGGCGCGUAGGCGGCUUGGCAAGUGGAUGGUGAAAUCCCUCGGCUUAACCGAGGAACUGCCAUCCAGACUGCUUCGCUUGAGACCGGGAGAGGUGAGUGGAAUUCCCAGUGUAGCGGUGAAAUGCGUAGAGAUCAGGAGGAACACCGAUGGCGAAAGUAGGUCACUGGACUCGUAUUGACGCUCAUCCACGAAAGCUAGGGGAGCAAACAGG